rfam:Aspergillus glaucus CBS 516.65 unplaced genomic scaffold ASPGLscaffold_12, whole genome shotgun sequence.
UCACCUGAUGAAUUCUUUAAUCGCUGUGUUCUUUCUGAACAUCAUUGAAGAAACAAACAAGAUUCACCUUGGAGAACUGAACU